UACGUAGGGGGGCAAGCGUUGUCCGGAUUUAUUGGGCGUAAAGAGCGUGUAGGCGGCCAGGUAGGUCUGCUGUGAAAACUCGAGGCUUAACCUCGAGCUGUCGGCGGAAACCAUCUGGCUAGAGUCCGGAAGAGGAGAAUGGAAUUCCCGGUGUAGCGGUGAAAUGCGCAGAUAUCGGAGGAGACACCCGGUGGCGAAGGCGGACUUCUGG
rnacentral:rRNA from 1 species